UUACAGGCAAGGCCUGUCCCUUGAAAUGUUACAUGAAGCACGCCAGAGAGAGCUCUAGGGAUAGGACCCCGGGUCUUCUAUGCCACAGUGGUUCAAUGUCUUCAAUGACUGGAAUAUCCCUUAUUUAUGGCAUCUGUCUGUUCUAAAAUGCAAUCACUCUUACCAAAUCUGCAACAGAAAUGAUUCAAAUAAUUACAAAAAGUUCAUUUUCUGCAUUUUUUAAACAGUGCAACUACCAAUUGAUAACACUUCUUUCACUACUGAUAAACAAUUCUAGUUUGUCUUCCUGAGUGGCCUUUCAUUCCUUAGUUGUCAUCUGCACACUUUUUUCUUCCCUUCCCUAGCAGCUCCACAUUUAAGCAGAGAUUAGAUAGACAGAACUUUAUUCGUCCCUGGGGGAAAUUUGGCUUUUUUGCAAAAGCUCUUUAAAUAAAUAAAUAAAUACAUGAAUACAUAGAAAAAAUAAAUACACACACAUACACAAUGGUCUGAGCACACACCAAAAUGAGAUUUUUUUUUUUUUUUUUUUUUUAACUUCUGACUUGGCUGUUCAAGUCACAUUUCCUGACACACUUCUGCUGAAUAAUUUGUUGGGCGAAAGUCCUUAGUGUUAGUGUGUCAGAAAGAGGAUGUGCAGCUUUGAUCAUAAUGGUGCUCUGUUUUGUUUUAAUUGCCUCCCUUGCUAUGACUUCCAGGGGGUCCAGAGUGCAUCCCAUUACUGAGCCUGCCCCUUUAAUUAACUUGUUGAUUCAGUGGGCCUCUCUUGAAGUAAAUUGUUAAUGCUGCUGACUCGUGAAUUCAUCUUCCUGGGUUUGAACCUCUCACCCUACCACUGUCCAUGUGUCCUUGUUUCUGGAUGGGGUUGUGGAGAGCACUAGUCCUGGCAGCAGCUGACACAAAACUGGAUAAGAUACAAAUUUACAGCUAGGCAUGCUCAUAGCUGUAGAAACAUGUUUAAGUGGGGUGUCCUGUGGUAAAUAAUUCCUGAGGAAUCUGGAGAUUUUUCAUAUUACACUUUGAUCAAAUGACUUUUUGAGUGAACAAGAAUCCAGAGUUUUUAAGGUAAAGUUGACUCUGACUACUCAAAACUCAGUUACCUUGGCACCGGAGAGUGACGUGUUGCAUGUCAGUUGGACAUGCAAGCCAGAACUUCACUAAACUCUGUACACAUGACAAUGCUCUUGAAACUAAAUUAAUUUGUCAAGGACUACACUGCUUAUUUAUUGGUGUUUGCUCUAACCUAGCAGGUAUUCAAACACUAUCUUUGUGCACUGGUGAUUUGUUUGUGUAAACUAACUUUGAAAGUUGCCUUGCACCAGUUGCAAAAUUCUGUCUCCAUGAAAAGCCUAUCCCACUUCCUGUGGUGGUCAAAAGCCACAAGAUGUAUUUUACACAGUGUGGACUCGUGCAAAAAAAAAUUACAAAUGAUACAAUCUGUCUUUAUGGUGUAUUUCAUGGAAAGGUGAAAUAGAGAUUUCCAUUCAUAAAUGUAGAAAAUUUUGCAUUUUUGUCAUAGUCUUAAGUUCUUCACUCUCUUUUGCCAUUUUCCCGUGGACUUUGUUCCUUUAAUUGUAUUCAAAUAAUGACAAUUAACAACCUAAUAAUGAUGAUGAAAAUCUUUAAUCAAGGUAAUAAAAAACUAAAUUAUCUCCAUGCAGCACACAUACAUGCUGGCUACAUUCCAAUAACCUUUAGCAAACAAGGUUUGAAACUUUCAUCAUUCUGUAUUGUCUGCCUGCUCUUCUUCUCCACUUAUUGUUAAUUGUCAUUGUUAAUAUGCAAUUAACAAAGAAAAAAGUGAAUUAAUAGGAAAAUGACAAAAGAGAGCUAAAACUUAAAUCUAUGGUAAAAAAAUGCAUAUUUCUACAUUUGUGAAUGCAAAAAUCUCACACAACUGUUUUUUCAUAUAUGCAGAAUAAGAGAAGGAAAAAAUCACCAGUUAUAUAAAAAUGAGAUCAACUAGAAGGAAAAUGCCUCAUGAUUGUGAAACUGGUUGGAACAACAACCUGCUGCUACAAAGGUCUCCUGGGACUGGAGCUGGAAAACAGUGAGGUAGACAAACGCUCACUUCCUCUUCUAUUGCUGGUGAGAAAAUAGUCACUGCUCGGGUGGUAGGACUGGCAUCAACGGAUGUAAUUCUGCUAUUAGAUGCAAAGUCAGCAGUCUGUUAGCUUUCAUACUUUCUAGGUUUUCUAGCAUUUGAUGGAUUUGUAACAAACGUUUACAUGUGUUUGUGCUGCCAUGUUGUGGCUUAACUGGUUACUACAUGAAAUACAGCACCCUUAGCACCCUACAUCAUACCCAAUGCUGAACCAGUUUUGUGUCACCAGUCCACCCAAUGGCACAACUUUAGGGGGGAAACAAAAUGAAUGGCAGCACAACGCUCAUGUUCUCUUUCUGUGUGAUGGUGAUGUGAUCUAUUAUACCGCCAUGCCUUUUUAUGUGUAAUAACAGUUUCACUCCAUCACACUCCUCCUACAGUAUAUCCCAGGGAUGCACAUUGGGGAGUUUAUUUUGGAGUAGUAUGAGUGAGUAUGGAUGUCUAUGAAGAAAUGUCACCCCAACCAAUGCUAGCUCUGCCUUGUGCCUAACAUGCUAAGAAAGGAAACCAUGCAAUGAGAUGAUGGGUUGAGAAAUGGAUGCCCAGACAAGCACAAUCAUCACCUAAUA